rnacentral:lncRNA from 1 species
UCACGAUAGCGGGAUCGAAUCACAUAUGAGCUAUAACUUGAGAUUCUUUUUUGAUUCUACUAAGUUACCACAAUACACUGCUAGGUGUCACGAUGGAUGGUGAGAGCUCAUUAGGGUUGCUAAGGAUUGACAAUCCUUGAUGAGUCAGAGUGAAACUAUUUCGAUCAAUUGAAAGAAAUUUUAAUGAUACUAUGAUAAAGAUUAUUGUAUAUCUUACUACUAGAUAGAAUAAAAUCUAUGAGGUCACAC